GAUGAAGAACGUAGCGAAAUGCGAUAAGUAUUGUGAAUUGCAGAAUUCAGUGAAUCAUCGAAUCUUUGAACGCACAUUGCGCCCGCCAGUAUUCUGGCGGGCAUGCCUGUUCGAGCGUCAUUUCAACCAUCAAGCCCCCGGCUUGUGUUGGGGACCUGCGGCUGCCGCAGGCCCUGAAAAGCAGUGGCGGGCUCGCUGUCACACCGAGCGUAGUAGCAUACAUCUCGCUCUGGGCGUGCUGCGGGUUCCGGCCGUUAAACCACCUUCAUAACCCAAGGUUGACCUCGGAUCAGGUAGGAAGACCCGCUGAACUUAAGCAUAUCAAUAAGCGGAGGA
rnacentral:misc_RNA from 1 species